AUGACCCAGAUCUCCAAGCAGUGCCAGAAUGGUUGGGGACAUGCAAAGAGUGCAAAAUGGGAAUUUUUGGAAGAGGCAGGUCAGCACAAAGGGGCCUCAGAAACCCCUACCCUGCAGUUUCUAAGGAUCGUGUCUGCGAGUCAGGAUUCCCGGUCCAGAGACAAUGGCCCCAAUGGAAUGGAGCCAGAAGGUGUCAUCGAGAGUAAUUGGAAUAAAAUUGUUGACAGCUUUGAUGACAUGAACCUCUCUGAGUCCCUUCUCCGAGGCAUCUGUGCCUAUGGUUUUCAAAAGCCUUCUGCCAUACAGCAGCGAGCCAUUCUUCCUUGUAUCAUGGGUUAUGAUGUGAUUGCUCAAGCCCAAUCUGGGACUGGGAAAACAGCCACUUUUGCCAUAUCAAUUCUACAGCAGAUAGAAUUGGAUCUGAAGGCCACCCAGGCUUUGGUCCUGGCUCCCACUCAAGAGUUGGCCCAGCAGAUACAGAAGGUGGUAAUGGCAUUAGGAGAUUACAUGGGUGCCUCCUGCCAUGCCUGCAUUGGGGGCACCAAUGUACGUGCUGAAGUACAGAAACUGCAGAUGGAGGCUCCGCACAUCAUUGUUGGUACCCCAGGCCGUGUAUUUGAUAUGCUUAAUCGAAGAUACCUUUCUCCCAAAUACAUAAAAAUGUUUGUGCUGGAUGAAGCUGGUGAAAUGUUAAGCCGUGGGUUCAAGGACCAGAUCUAUGACAUAUUCCAGAAGCUCAACAGCAACACCCAGGUGUUUUGUUAUCAGCCACAAUGCCUUCUGAUGUGCUUGAAGUGACCAAGAAAUUCAUGAGGGACCCCAUUCUGAUUCUUGUCAAGAAGAAGAACUGACCCUGGAGGGUAUCCGCCAAUUCUAUAUCAAUGUGGAACGUGAGGAGUGGAAGCUGGACACACUGUGAUUUGUACGAAACAUUAAUGACCACCCAGGCCGUCAUCUUCAUUAACACCCAAAGGAAGGUUGACUGGCUCACUGAAAAAAUGCAUGCCCGGGAUUUCACCAUCUCUGCCAUGCAUGGA